rnacentral:rRNA from 1 species
AUUGAACGCUGGCGGCAGGCUUAACACAUGCAAGUCGAGCGGGGUGAUGGUGCUUGCACUAUCACUUAGCGGCGGACGGGUGAGUAAUGCUUAGGAAUCUGCCUAUUAGUGGGGGACAACAUCUCGAAAGGGAUGCUAAUACCGCAUACGUCCUACGGGAGAAAGCAGGGGAUCACUUGUGACCUUGCGCUAAUAGAUGAGCCUAAGUCGGAUUAGCUAGUGGGUGGGGUAAAGGCCUACCAAGGCGACGAUCUGUAGCGGGUCUGAGAGGAUGAUCCGACACACUGGGUCGGAGACACGGCCCAGACUCCUACGGGAGGAAGCAGUGGGGAAUAUUUGACAAUGGGGGGAACCCUGAUCCAGCCAUGCCGGGUGUGUGAAGAAGGCCUUAUGGUUGUAAAGCACUUUAAGCGAGGAGGAGGCUCUUUUGGUUAAUACCCAAGAUGAGUGGACGUUACUCGCAGAAUAAGCACCGGCUAACUCUGUGCCAGCCGCCGCAGUAA